AUACAUCGGAAUCUACCUUUUCGUGGGGGAUAACGUAGGGAAACUUACGCUAAUACCGCAUACGACCUUCGGGUGAAAGCAGGGGACCUUCGGGCCUUGCGCGGAUAGAUGAGCCGAUGUCGGAUUAGCUAGUUGGCGGGGUAAAGGCCCACCAAGGCGACGAUCCGUAGCUAGUCUGAGAGGAUGAUCAGCCACACUGGAACUGAGACACGGUCCAGACUCCUACGGGAGGCAGCAGUGGGGAAUAUUGGACAAUGGGCGCAAGCCUGAUCCAGCCAUACCGCGUGGGUGAAGAAGGCCCUCGGGUUGUAAAGCCCUUUUGUUGGGAAAGAAAAGCAGUCGGCUAAUACCCGGUUGUUCUGACGGUACCCAAAGAAUAAGCACCGGCUAACUUCGUGCCAGCAGCCGCGGUAAUACGAAGGGUGCAAGCGUUACUCGGAAUUACUGGGCGUAAAGCGUGCGUAGGUGGUUGUUUAAGUCUGUUGUGAAAGCCCUGGGCUCAACCUGGGAAUUGCAGUGGAUACUGGGCGACUAGAGUGUGGUAGAGGGUAGUGGAAUUCCCGGUGUAGCAGUGAAAUGCGUAGAGAUCGGGAGGAACAUCCAUGGCGAAGGCAGCUACCUGGACCAACACUGACACUGAGGCACGAAAGCGUG
rnacentral:rRNA from 1 species